CAGCCGCCGCGGUAAUACGGAGGGUGCAAGCGUUAUCCGGAUUCACUGGGUUUAAAGGGUGCGUAGGCGGGUAUGUAAGUCAGUGGUGAAAUCUCGGAGCUUAACUCCGAAACUGCCAUUGAUACUAUAUAUCUUGAAUAUUGUGGUGGUUUGCGGAAUAUGUCAUGUAGCGGUGAAAUGCUUAGAUAUGACAUAGAACACCUAUUGCGAAGGCAGCAGGCUACACAUAUAUUGACGCUGAGGCACGAAAGCGUGGGGAUCAAACAGGAUUAGAUACCCUGGUAGUCCACGCCCUAAACGAUGGAUACUCGACAUACGCGAUACACUGUGUGUGUCUGAGCGAAAGCAUUAAGUAUCCCACCUGGGAAGUACGACCGCAAGGUUGAAACUUAAAGGAAUUGGCGG
rnacentral:rRNA from 1 species